rnacentral:rRNA from 1 species
GAUGAACGCUAGCGGCAGGCCUAAUACAUGCAAGUCGGACGGGAUUCAGGAGCUUGCUUCUGAUGAGAGUGGCGCACGGGUGCGUAACACGUAUGUAACCUACCUUUAUCAGGGGGAUAGCCUCUCGAAAGAGAGAUUAAGCCCGCAUAAAAUCACAGCACAGCAUUGUGUAAUGAUCAAAUAUUUAUAGGAUAAAGAUGGGCAUGCGGAACAUUAGCUAGAUGGCGGGGUAACGGCCCACCAUGGCGACGAUGUUUAGGGGAUCUGAGAGGAUGGCCCCCCACACUGGUACUGAGACACGGACCAGACUCCUAUGGGAGGCAGCAGUAAGGAAUAUUGGUCAAUGGGCGGAAGCCUGAACCAGCCAUGCCGCGUGCAGGAAGACGGCCCUACGGGUUGUAAACUGCUUUUAUACGGGAAUAAACCCAGAUACGUGUAUCUGGCUGAAUGUACUGUAAGAAUAAGGAUCGGCUAACUCCGUG